AACGAACGCUGGCGGCAUGCCUAACACAUGCAAGUCGAACGAGACCUUCGGGUCUAGUGGCGCACGGGUGCGUAACGCGUGGGAAUCUACCCUCAGGUUCGGAAUAACUCAGAGAAAUUUGAGCUAAUACCGGAUGAUGACGUAAGACCAAAGAUUUAUCGCCUGAGGAUGAGCCCGCUUAGGAUUAGGUAGUUGGUGAGGUAAAGGCUCACCAAGGCUACGAUCCUUAGCUGGUCUGAGAGGAUGAUCAGCCACACUGGGACUGAGACACGGCCCAGACUCCUACGGGAGGCAGCAGUGGGGAAUAUUGGACAAUGGGCGGAAGCCUGAUCCAGCAAUGCCGGGUGAGUGAUGAAGGCCUUAGGGUUGUAAAGCUCGUUUACCCGGGAUGAUAAUGACGGUACCGGGAGAAUAAGCACCGGCUAACUCCGUG
rnacentral:rRNA from 1 species